UACGUAGGGUGCAAGCGUUGUCCGGAAUUAUUGGGCGUAAAGGGCUCGUAGGCGGUCCGUCACGUCGGGAGUGAAAUCCUGGGGCUUAACCCCAGAACUGCUUCCGAUACGGGCAGACUAGAGGUAGGUAGGGGAGAAUGGAAUUCCUGGUGUAGCGGUGGAAUGCGCAGAUAUCAGGAGGAACACCUGUGGCGAAAGCGGCUCACUGGACCACAACUGACGCUGAAGCACGAAAGCUAGGGGAGCAAACAGG
rnacentral:rRNA from 1 species